ACACCAGUGUGGGUGGAGCUACUGGGUCCUGUGCCCGCCCCUCAGGGUCACAGUGCAGACCCAGAAGUAUAAAAGCUCACCUGCAGAGCUCAGUGGAGAACCAGCCGCUGCAGAGACCAGAUGUCUGAGACCAAACUCCCUCGUGGGAGACAGCAGCAGGCUGCAGCUGGCCUGAGGUCAAACCGGGCCAGCUGAGCCUACCCCUCGCUUGGUACCCCAAGGAGGACUGGAUGGGCCUGCCCCCUCUCAGCUACCCCAAGGAGGAGCCGAGCCUGCCCCCUCUCAGCUACCCCGAGGAGGAGCCGAGCCUGCCCCUUGCCAGCUACCCCGAGGAGGAACCGAGCCUGCCCCUUGCCAGCUGCCCCGAGGAGGAGCCGAGCCUGCCCUUCGCUGCGUCCCCUGAGGAACCGAUGGUGUUCGAGACAGCCGAGGACGCUAGCACGACCCAGUAUUCCUUCGUUUUAAGUCUUUCCAGCAUUUGUGUACAUGUUUACAGUGGAAGAUUUCAAGCGUAGAUAAGCUACUUACUUAGAGCAGAAUAUUUCAAGUGUGGAUACGCUACAUAUUGACCAGAUAGAUCACUAUGAAGCGGAGAUUUGAAAGUGGCGCAAGCAAGAGAAAGCGAAAACAACUGAGUGAAGCAGCAGCUAAAGAGCUCAAAGCCAAUAACUUCAUUUCUCAAACCACUGGAAAACACACCUUACCCAACAAACAAUGCUACAGAUAAUGAAAACUCUGCAAUUGCAACAGGUGAUAUUUCAAUGCCAAUACCUGAAUAUGAGGACGGUAGUUAAGGAGGAGAUGUGCCAACAGUAACAGAUGCAGCAGAAGAUCCUGUGUACGAUCAAGAAACUCAACAGCAACAGGAAGAAGUAGAUCUUACGCAGCAAGAACAAUUCAUGAGUACUACAGGUUUGACUGACUGACACUGGAAUUAUUGACAAGAGCAAUGCUGCCCAAAUGAAGUCUUUUCUUCAAAUUAGUUGUUCUGAAAUUCCAAGUAACAUUCCACAAGAUGCUGAUAAUCCCACUUUCCCUACACAUCUGCUGACAUUCAAAAACUCUUCCAAAUGGUGAGAUCAGCAUAAGAGACUGGCGUAUAGAAAAACAAUCUCUGUACUGUGCACCGUGGUUCAUUUUGAACAAAAAAAAGCUACAAAUACAUCAGUUCUCUCUGAUCAAUCAGAAUGGAGCAUCAAGAGAGGUUGGAGGAAAUUGAAAGACCGAAUACUAUCAUAUGAGAGUUCAACGUCACACAAAGAAAACAAUGUUGCAUGGAAAGCAGCCAGUAGGGCAGCAUCAGCUGAAAGUUCAGUUGAGAAUUUACUCCUGACUGAACUCUCUACAGAAACUAAUAACUGGAAAAAGCUUCUUGAGCACAUCCUGAAUCUCAUCCUUUUUCUUUCUGAGCAGGGAUUGGCUUUCUUUGGUUCCAGUCAACUUAUUGGUGAUCGUGCAAAUGGAAACUUUCUAGGCAUAGUUGAGCUCCUCAGCAAAUACGACCCACUUUUAUCAGAGCAUAUUAAACAUGUUUGAGAAUUGCAAGAGUCAAAAGCACAUGCAAGUCCAUUAUGUCUUCACACACAUAAAAAACAAGUUUAUUGAGCUAUGUGGGUCAUUCGUACAAACAACAAUUUUUGAUGAGAUUCAAAAUGCCAAGUAUUUUCAAUCAUUGUUGAUGCCACUCCAGAUUGUUCUCACAAGGAACAGACUACUGUGGUUAUUCAAUAUGUUAAGAUUGUAGACAGCUCAAAAUUUUCAGUUGAAGAAAGGUUUAUUUUGUUUGAUAAUUUCAUGAGAAAAACUGAAAAAGAAAUUGCUGCUCAAAUACUAGCAAUUCUAGGGUCUUUAAGUUAGAUUUUCAAGUCUGCAUUGGUGAAGCUUAUGACAAUGGAUCUAAUAUGGCUGGGAAGUACAAAGAUGCUCAAGCAGAACUACUUGUACACAGUUCAAACUGAAUUUUCUCCAGCUGUGGAAACCACACACUAAACCUUGUAGGUGUUGACUGUGCUGAAUCAUGCAAGGAGGCAAUUACUUACUUUGGAACUGUUCAGCAAAUAUACAGUCUCUUCAGUAGCAGUCCAAAAAGGUGGGAAAUUCUGAAGCAAUAUCUUCCUGUUUCACUGUAUGGGAUGUCAAAAAACUAGAUGGUCUGCAUGGAUUGAUGGUGUUCAACCAGUUGUGCAUCAUUUGAAUUUAGUGAGAGAGGCUUUAAAUUAGCUUGAAUCUCUCUCUCAAUCUCACUGCACAGGCUCGAACGGAACUUCAGUCUAUUCAGAAGCAUGUGUCCAAAUUUGAAUGCAUUCUGAUGUCAUCUUUGUGGAUGAAACUACUUACAAUGAUUCACCAAACUCAUCUGGUAAUUGAAGCACACAAUGUUACACUUGAUGUUGAGAGGGAUAACAUUGAAAGUCUUAUCAAUGACAUUCAACAGAUUUGUGAACAAUGGGAUGCGAUCCUGACUGAAUCCAGAUUAGUAGCACAGAAUAUUGGCAUCUCAUCUGAGUUCACCAAUUGCAAUUUACCUACUGAAUCUGAUGCCGAGCAGCAUUAUAGGGUCAAUGUCUUCCUUGUCAUCACUGACUCUUCAAUGAGGUCUUACAUGUCGAUUUGAGUCACUGUGACUAAUUUGUACCCUUUUUGGGUUUCUUUGGCAGUUGAACAGACUGAGUAAUGAAGAUCUACUUUCUGCAGCUGAACAAUUUCAGCAACAGUACAAUGAAGAAAUCUCAAAAGAUCUUAGUGAUGAGGUCAUCUUCCUCAAACAAAUAUAUUCCAUGAACUUUAAAUUGGUUUGCAAGCCAAAGGAAUUGCUUCAAGAAAUUAUAGAAUAUCAGGGUCAGAAGGGACCUCAGGAGGUUCUCUAGUUCAACCCCCUGCUCAGAGUAGGACUAAUCCUCAGACAGAUUUUUGCCCUGGAUCCCUCAAUGGCUCCCUUAAGGAUUGAAGUCACAACCCUGGGUUUAACAGGCCAAUGCUCAAACCAUGGAGCUAUCCCUCCCCUCCUUAGAUGGUCCGGGGUGUUUCCUAAUAUCACAAUUGCAUUGUGUAUUGUUGUCAGUUUGCCUGCAUUAGUGGCUUCAGGUGAAUGCAUCUUCAGUGUGUUGAAGCAGGUAAAGAACUAUCACUAUUCAGCUAUGGGACAGGAGCAUUUGAAUGGGCUCAUCAUGCUUAAUAGCAACUGUGACAUUGCACGAAAGCUAGAUUUUUCCUCAACAAUUAGUGCAUUUGCACAGAAAAAGGCUAGAAAAGCAUUCGUUACAUAAAAAAAUAUUCACA